CCUACGGGUGGCAGCAGUGGGGAAUAUUGGGCAAUGGGCGCAAGCCUGACCCAGCAACGCCGCGUGAAGGAAGAAGGCUUUCGGGUUUUAAACUUCUUUUAAGAGGGAAGAGCAGAAGACGGUACCUCUUGAAUAAGCCACGGCUAACUCCGUGCCAGCAGCCGCGGUAAUCCGUAGGUGGCAAGCGUUUUCCGGAUUUACUGGGUGUAAAGGGCGUUUAGCCGGGCUGACAAGUCAGAUGUGAACUCCGGGGGCUCAACCCCCGAACUGCAUUUGAAACUGUUGGUCUUGAGUAUCGGAGAGGCAGGCGGAAUUCCUAGUGUAGCGGUGAAAUGCGUAGAUAUUAGGAGGAACACCAGUGGCGAAGGCGGCCUGCUGGACGACAACUGACGGUGAGGCGCGAAAGCGUGGGGAGCAAACAGGAUUAGAUACCCGGGUAGUC
rnacentral:rRNA from 1 species